rnacentral:rRNA from 1 species
UACGUAGGGUGCGAGCGUUAAUCGGAAUUACUGGGCGUAAAGCGUGCGCAGGCGGUUCGACAAGUCUGAUGUGAAAGCCCCGGGCUCAACCUGGGAAUGGCAUUGGAAACUGGCGAGCUAGAGUGUGGCAGAGGGGGGUGGAAUUCCGCGUGUAGCAGUGAAAUGCGUAGAGAUGCGGAGGAACACCGAUGGCGAAGGCAGCCCCCUGGGCUUUCACUGACGCUCAGGCACGAAAGCGUGGGGAGCAAACAGG